CUACGGGCGGCUGCAGUCGAGAAUCUUUUGCAAUGUCCGAAAGGAUGACAAUGCGACGCCGCGUGAGCGAUGAAGCCCUUCGGGGUGUAAAGCUCUGUCAGCCCGGACGAAUAUCCGCUUUCGAACAAAAAGCGGAAAUGACGGUACGGGCAGAGGAAGCCACGGCUAACUCCGUGCCAGCAGCCGCGGUAAUACGGAGGUGGCAAGCGUUGUUCGGAUUCAUUGGGUGUAAAGGGUAUGUAGGCGUCUUGAUAAGUUGGGUGUGAAAUCCCUUGGCUCAACCAAGGAACUGCACUCAAAACUGUCAAGAUUGAGCACGGCAGAGGAGAGUGGAAUUCCCGGUGUAAGGGUGAAAUCUGUAGAUAUCGGGAGGAACACCAGUGGCGAAAGUGGCUCUCUGGGCCAGUGCUGACGCUGAAAUACGAAAGCAAGGGGAGCAAACAGGAUUAGAUACCCCCGUAGUC
rnacentral:rRNA from 1 species